rnacentral:lncRNA from 1 species
AAGCUUCUCAAGUAGUUUCCACAAAUUAGGAAGCUUCUCAAGUAGCUUUCACGAGCUUGAAAACUUCUCAAGUAACUUCUAUAAACUAUAAAGCUUCUCUAGAACCUUCUAGAAUCUUCUAUAACUUCUUAGUGUAUGUCCUUGACAUCACCCCCCCUCUUUUAGCUUCAAAGUCUCCAAGAAGCACUGCUAUUGCGAGUCAGUACCAACGUAUGAAGUUGAAAAUUUGUCACAUAGUGUCAAUAAUAUACUCCAAUUUUUGUUCGCAUGGCAAAUAGUUCAUUGGUCCUUGUAAUCAACGAUAGUGUCCUAUGCCUUUGAUUUCCGAUCAAG